UUAAAAAUAAGCUAAAAUUAAGCUUUUGGGCUCAUACCCCAAAUAUAAAGAAACUCUUUUUUUUAAA
rnacentral:tRNA from 1 species